GGCAAAAUCAACCUGUUCAUCUUCACCCCCGCGAGCAACUCAUAACACUUGCACAAGAAUAUGAGAUCUCAUCACAUGAGUGCUUCAACACUCCUCCUACACGAGGGAAGGCUUCAGUUGUCCUCUGGUCUACGGGUUAAAGUUCGCUACAUGGAGCGGGUCGCCCCCUCAGGAGCUGCAACGUUGACAUCACAUGACCAGUGUCACGCAAGUAAGGAUGCAGAACCCUACGUCUUUAUUCUAGGACUACAAAAAUACCCUUUGUAUGCUGCAAGCGGGAAGGUCAUUCACUUUUGAUCAUACUCUUAAACGACAAUGCAUUUUACAAAGUGAUAUUCAGUCACGUUCCACAAUCACUGGAACAGCAAGAAGAACAUAGAUUGUCUGUAAAUGUACAAUAGCUGGAUAAUCUGGUGUAGAAGGAUAGUGUUGAACCCAGAAUACCUUUUUCCCCAAAAUGCUAAGAAAUGUGGCUGUGAGCAACGGAAACAUUACAUGGGUAAACGAUCACUAAACGACUAGUUUCAAAAAUAUAAUAGUCCUUGCUUCUUUUUGUGUAGAAAUAGUCUAAUUUUUGGCUGCAAAAUGAACAAAUUUCUCAUGCAAGAACAGAUUAAAAUUCUUUUUGGCCAAUCGAAA